rnacentral:rRNA from 1 species
UACGUAGGGUGCGAGCGUUGUCCGGAAUUAUUGGGCGUAAAGAGCUUGUAGGCGGUUUGUCGCGUCUGCUGUGAAAAUCCGGGGCUCAACCCCGGACUUGCAGUGGGUACGGGCAGACUAGAGUGUGGUAGGGGAGACUGGAAUUCCUGGUGUAGCGGUGAAAUGCGCAGAUAUCAGGAGGAACACCGAUGGCGAAGGCGGGUCUCUGGGCCAUUACUGACGCUGAGGAGCGAAAGCGUGGGGAGCGAACAGG